rnacentral:rRNA from 1 species
CCUACGGGAGGCAGCAGUGGGGAAUAUUGCACAAUGGGGGAAACCCUGAUGCAGCGACGCCGCGUGAGUGAAGAAGUACUUCGGUAUGUAAAGCUCUAUCAGCAGGGAAGAAAAUGACGGUACCUGAUUAAGAAGCCCCGGCUAACUACGUGCCAGCAGCCGCGGUACUACGUAGGGGGCAAGCGUUAUCCGGAUUUACUGGGUGUAAAGGGAGCGUAGACGGCAGCACAAGUCUGGAGUGAAAUGCCGGGGCUUAACCCCGGAACUGCUUUGGAAACUGUGCAGCUAGAGUGCAGGAGAGGUAAGUGGAAUGCCUAGUGUAGCGGUGAAAUGCGUAGAUAUUAGGAGGAACACCGGUGGCGAAGGCGGCUUACUGGACUGUAACUGACGUUGAGGCUCGAAAGCGUGGGGAGCAAACAGGAUUAGAUACCCGGGUAGUC